UUCAGAUCAUCUACUCAAGAGUUGCUAGAGUAUGCAAGAGUGAUAAUGGAGGAAACUUCUUGUUGGAGGAAAACUGGACAACCUUCCGCAAGGCUCGUCUCAACUGCUCUAUCCCUGGCCAGAUUCCAUUCUCAUUCAAUGAGAUAGAAAGCACCUACUAUGACAAUGAGACUGGAACAAUAUACACAGUUUUCUCAACCCCAAGCAACAGCAUCCAUGGCUCAGCUGUCUGUGCAUUCACCUUGGAGGCAAUAAACGAAGCCUUCUCAGGUCCAUUCACCUUUCAGCCCAAUGCAGCAUCAGCGUGGAUCACCAAACCAAACUCAAGCCCAGAGGUAAGCUCAAGCUCAACAUAAUUUUUUUUUUUUAAUUCCCUGAUAUUUUUCUUCUUUUCUCCUAUUUUUCUUCUGCUCUCCCUCCCAUGCAGUAAAUCUUUGUUCCUACAUUAUCUCCUCUUUUACCCCAUCCCUUCCUUACCUUCUCUCAACCUUCCAAUCCCCUUUUCACUUUUCUUCUCACUCACUUUCCCUUUGAUCUGUCCCUACCUCCUUCCUACACUGCUUCUAUCUUCUUUAAUCUUCUCCUUCAUCUCCUUCUCUCUCUCCAUACCUCUUGCCUGUCAGUCCUUUGUCCUUCUUUCCCUUUUUGUUAUUCCUUCCUUCUCCCCUCCCUACUCCUUAUCUUCUUUCCCUUCCGAUUUCUUCCUUCUCCUUUCUUUCGCUUCCCUCUAAUACUCUUUCCCCCUUCCUUAUUUUUGUUUUGAUAUCUCCCCCUAUCCAUUCCUUAACAUACUAUCCCCUUCCCUCAUCCUUUCUUUCCCCUAGCUUAUUUCAUCUUCCUGUCCCUGCAUGGCCCUUAUCUUAACCCCUCCCUGUUGCAUUCUUUCCCUUUUUCAUUUCUUGUUUUAGCAAGAAGCAUCAUGUUCAAGCACCAUUCUCGCCCCAGGUAUAACCAACUGAAAACCAGCAUACAUGAAUGGCACAUGAACUGUACGAUUGAUUGACAUGCCAAAUUCACGUUAUAGAGGCUGGCAAGAAAUAUACAUAUAAACCCAUUGAUUCCUGGAAUCUAGUAACCCCAGUAUUAACCAGAAUUAGAAAGCUCAGGAGUGAAUUGAAUUCAUGUUUAUGGUAACUGGUCUUUAGCCGAAAGUUCAUAAUACGUUAUUUCUGUUUUCGAGAGAAGUAAAGUAAUAUAAAGCUGGGUGAAUUCAAACCAAUAUGCACACCUUCUUUUUAUCAUUAGAGUCAUAUCUAAACCAAAAAAAAAAUGUCACCCACUUGUAUAUAGUGAUAUAAUAAUGAAUUUUUUGAGUAAUAUUAGAUUGAAUAGAAGAAAUACAAUAUUAUUGCUGACAAUAACAUAAACUGCUUAAUGCAAUCCCAAACUAUCAAUUCCAACUUCCAAAUGGGAAUAUGAAGGGGAUGUGAGGGGGUGGGUAAUCCAGCCUCUUUUAUCUCUGUCAUAUUUUCUUUUUACUCAAAUAGUGAAGUCCAUAAUGAUUUUAAAAUUCUCAUCAUCAAUAACACAUCUGGAUCUGUGCAUCUGUCAUUCCCCGGAGAAAAAGUGUUUCCAUAAAGCACCCUAGAUCCGGUCUUUUAUUUUGCUUUACUCUUAUCUCGGAAUGAAUUCGUUUUCGAUGAGUGAUGGUGGAUUCUGGAUGAUAAUCGCAGGAUUUGAUGCAUUCAUAAUGAGGAUCAUUAAGAAAUGCAUUCUUAUUGAAAGGUGCAGGUAUCUUGAAAUGCUAAUAAUGAUGCUGAAUUAUUACCAAUUGUGAGAUAGUUCUUAAUUGUUGAAUGUUACUAAAUGCUUAAGGGUUACAAUAUGGGUAUAAGGUGAAAUUAGUGUGUUUACUGGAAUCAUUCUUAUUUUGGUAAAAAGACAUUUUAAAUUAAAUAUGAACAAGAAUAUAAAUUCUUAAGUGGAAAGGCCAAAAAAUAUAUUGCGGUCACAAUGAAAGUUUGAUGAAAUUAUUCAUACAAUCGGAUGAUAUUUGCAAGCUGGUUAAUAUCACAAAAGAGCAAAUUAUGUUUUUGAGCAUAUUAGUGGGCAAGUGGGAGUAUUAUGCAGACCACCCAUCUUAAUAUAAUUUGAAGAGAAAGGAACUGUUUAUGAAAGAACUGCCCCAAUUAUGACGAAAGUGAUAUUUCAAAUUGUAAGCCAUCUGGAAAGUGCUCGAAAAUCUUCCGUAGGUGGUCAAUUACUGUGUUUUAUAAUUCUGCCUUUUGAAAUGCUCUAAAGGAACAAACAAAAAUGCACCGGCUUUUAUCUUAUUACAGUUUGUAUUGUUGGAAAUGCAGAAAGAAACUUUGGUUGAAAUCCCUGCUUGAAGGAGAAACUUGAACUCAGAAAAAGAAAGGAUAAAUUCUGAACGAGAAGAGGUUCGUCCGUCCGGUCAUUGCCCUAAUUCUCCAUCGAGACUCACUCCUACCUAAGCUUUAUAUCUCAACAUAGAAAUUAGAUUUGUUCUUACAAUAUUUCAUUUUUCGUUUUUGUGAUAUUUAGAUGAGAAAUGUCUCAGUGGAUUUAUUUAAGUGCUUGGAAAUAUAUGGACAAAUUUCUGAUUGUAAAUAUUGUUUUGCUUGUCUAGAGUGCAAUGGGCAUAAGAUUAUAGAAAAGAAAUUAUAUACUGGUAAAACAUUCCCUUUCAUGAUUAGUUCAAAAGUUUGCUGUUGCUUAGUUUAUCGAAGAAAAUACCCUUCAGUGAUUCAAAGUUUGCAACAAAAUUAAAUUCCUUUUUUAAAGGUAAUAGUAUAUCAUUUUUUUCAGAAAGUGAAGGAAGUAUUUGCUAAGUCUUUUUUAUCUUUUAUAUUAGUUUCCCUCAUAGAAAUGGAACCAACCUAGAUUAUAACACUUCAUCAUUAAAAUCUUAAGAAUUUUCU